UUAUUAUUACAUUCCUGUAAUGAUGAAGCUAUAACGUAAUAUAUAGUCAUAUUAAAUUUUAAAAUUUAAAUUCAAGUUGAAAGCACGAUACUUAAGACCAAAAUUCAAAAAGUACUGUUUAUUUUGUUAUAGGUAAUGUUUUUAAUACAUGUAUGUUUCUAGGUUAAUUUGAUUGAUCAUUUGUGACACAUGCGACAGGGCAAAGGAUUAGACAUUUGAUAAGCCACAGUGGAUAAACGAUUUUGUAGUUCCUUUUAGAACAAGUACCAACAGGAAGAAAGUAUUUAAAUGGGGCGCUGAACUAUACAUGUGUGGUCUGCUUACAAUGGCAAUGUCCAGCCAAGUGUCCUACACACCACAAUACACCCGUCUGUACAGUAGUGUGUAUAGGAUUGAAAUAUAAAAAUAGAUUGAUAUUUGUCUGGUUCUAUUUCUCGGCCGGUUCUUUAGAUAUUGGUUACGUGGUAGAACAACUCGACAAGAUUAACCGUUAACGCCAUUUAACGCUGAAAAGGAAUUUGUCAAAACGUGGACACGGUUUGUAUAUCAAUGGUGGAAGUUGUCCUAAAGUAUGGACCUUACAGGAGAUGAGGCGUCGACUACCACAACCUAGAUAGGGCCAGGGGCUUUAUGGCUGCGAUAACUGCGUCAGGUCACAAGGUCACCACUCAGAAAACUAAAAAGUAUGCAGCGUGUGAUCUGUACAUUGAUUCCAAACACGUGUGGUCGUGCGACAUAACCAGUCUAGAACCAGCUGAAGGUCCUUUCCAUCCAUUGUGUGCAGAGGCUGUGAAGGCGAUUGAAGCUCACCAGAAAUCUUAAUACCCUGAUGUAAUAUGAUGCGGUAUACCUACGUCUCUCUAUGAAGGUUUCUUCUUAAACCAUGGACAGGCCGGAACUUGAUGUCAUGAGACUGUAAAACCAAAAUUAAAAAUAUGCAUUUAAUU